GCAUUGGUGGCUUAGUGGUAGAAUUCUUGACUUCCAUGGGGGAGACCCAGGUUUGAUUCCUGGCCAAUGCA
rnacentral:tRNA from 1 species